CCCCGGCCUGUCACUCUGGGUGCCGCUCCGCCUCUUUAGAUGUCACCGCCUCUUCAGCGCUCCCCCGGCCGGUCACUCUGGAUGCCGCUCCGCCUUGAAGGAUGUCAGCGCCCUUCGGAAGUCUCCGCCUCUUUAGAUGUCACCGCCUCUUCAGCGCUUCCCCGGCCGGUCACUCCGGAUGCCGCUUCACCUUGAAUGAUGUCGGCGACCUCCGGAAGUCUCCGCCUCUCGAUCUCCCCCCUCUUGAGUGACUCGCCGGCUAUUGCAGGGGGAUAGCGCUCUUCAGUGCACUACCACCAGUAGUCGCUGCACCCUCUUCUCUAGCGCCCGCUGACAGUUACAGCUCAAAUCAGCGGUGCAGAAGAGGAGAAACCGCUCCCAUGGCUGCGCACCCGAUCCAAUCUGUUCUUAUGCGGCGGGCUCUUCUAUUUAUACUCCUGCCAUCAGGGUCGCGUGGAGGUGUUCUUCCCGCCGAGGUCUCGUGAACCACCUGUACAGACAUGUGCCCAGGGUUAUUCCAUGCACUGCAUCCUCCAAUCAGGAUUUAGGUUUAUACAGCAGUGAUUUAAGAGAAAAAUCUGUUGACUAAGAAGUGGAACAUUACACGAGAACCAUCCAUUAGUAUUACGAACACUGUCCAUACCCACCAUCGAGACUGUCUAAAUAUUCCAGGGAGCGCACCACAGCAAGAAUUGGAACAUUAUGGUCUCACCACUUUCCAACUCCUCCACUGCACGCCAUUCUCCCCGGCUGCUGGUGCUUAUCCGUUCAUUGCAGCCAUCCCUGGGGGACAACUAUCGGAAUAUUCCCGUGCUGGAAGCUGCUGUACAGUAUGUCAAACCAGGUAGCGGGUGUCCGGUACAUUCAAAGCUUGACGCAUUUCCCCACCUCCUUACAGUAUCAGUGGCUUCCUCAGAAGCGGAUAUAUACUAUUUUGUGUGGCUAGACCAUUUAAUGAUUAGCUAUUCUGAGUUUUGCGAAUGCAGUUUUUAGCCAACUUGUUCUAAACAACUUGAUAUCAAUUGGAUGUAAACAUUUUUCUGAGACCAGUUACAAAAUAGUUGUUGCUAAAUGAGCCAUAACUAUUACACCUGCGGCAGGAUCAGUCACUUUAUUUAUUUUUAACAAACAUAGGAAAUAAUUUGUUUCUAAACUUAUUUUUACUUUGUAUGUAAACCGGCCGGUGGUUGUUCUUAAAUUGUAUUUGUACCUUAAAUAAAUGAAUUAGCCAUUUAA